rnacentral:sRNA from 1 species
UCCUCCCGCUGUCCCCCAGGGAGGGGACUGCCCUCCCCCGCUGCAUCCUUUCCGUGAGGUACCUUACCCACCUCAGCACCUGAGAGGGUGAAAUAGAAUUCUAACCUCGACAUUCGGGAGGUGUUUUUGAGAAGUCUCGGUCGGUAAGGGAAAUCUUCCAAGUCCGUGCAGCACUAACGUAUUGGCACCUGCCUCCUCUUCGGCCACCCCCCAGAUGAGGCAGCUGUGACAGUGUCAAGGGAAGCCACGACUCUGACCACAGUCUUCUCUCAGCUUCCACUGCCGUCUGCACAGGAAACCCAGAAGUUCUGUGAACAGGUCCAUGCUGCCAUCAAGGCAUUUAUUGCAGUGUACUAUUUGCUUCCAAAGGAUCAGGGAAUCACCCUGAGAAAGCUGGUACGGGGCGCCACCCUGGACAUCGUGGAUGGCAUGGCUCAGCUCAUGGAAGUACUUUCCAUCACUCCAACUCAGAGUCCUGAGAACAAUGAACUUAUUUCCUACAACAGUGUCUGGGUUGCGUGCCAGCAGAUGCCUCACAUACCAAGAGAUAACAAAGCUGCAGCUCUUUUGAUGCUGACCAAGAAUGUGGAUUUUGUGAAGGAUGCACAUGAAGAAAUGGAGCGGGCUGUGGAAGAAUGCGACCCUUACUCUGGCCUCUUGAAUGAUACUGAGGAGAACAACUCUGACAACCACAAUGAUGAGGAUGAUGUGUUGGGAUUUCCAAGCAAUCAGGACUUGUAUUGGUCAGAGGACGAUCAAGAGCUCAUAAUCCCAUGCCUUGCGCUAGUGAGAGCAUCCAAAGCCUGCCUGAAGAAAAUUCGGAUCUUAGUGGCAGAGAAUGGGAAGAAGGAUCAGGUGGCACAGCUGGACGACAUUGUGGAUAUUUCUGAUGAAAUCAGCCCUAGUGUGGAUGAUUUGGCUCUGAGCAUAUAUCCACCUAUGUGUCACCUGACCGUGCGAAUCAAUUCUGCGAAACUUGUAUCUGUUUUAAAGAAGGCACUUGAAAUUACAAAAGCAAGUCAUGUGACCCCUCAGCCAGAAGAUAGUUGGAUCCCUUUACUUAUUAAUGCCAUUGAUCACUGCAUGAACAGAAUCAAGGAGCUCACUCAGAGUGAACUUGAAUUAUGACUUUUCAGGCUCAUUUGUACUCUCUUCCCCCUCACCAUCAUGGUCAGGCUCUGAUAUCUGCUUUUAAAAUGGAGCUAGAAUGCUUGCUGGAUUGAAAGGGAGUGACUAUUUAUAUUUAGCAAGAGACACUAUUACCAAAGAUUGUUGGUUAGGCCAGAUUGGCACCUAUUUAUAAACCAUAUGCGUAUAAUAUAUUUUUCUGUGCUAUAUAUGAAAAAUAAUUGCAUGAUUUCUCAUUUCUGAGUCAUUUCUCAGAGAUUCCUAGGAAAGCUGCCUUAUUCUCUUUUUGCAGUAAAGUAUGUUGUUUUCAUUGUAAAGAUGUUGAUGGUCUCAAUAAAAUGCUAACUUGCCAGUG